rnacentral:lncRNA from 1 species
AAGUACACAAAUAAAAGAAAUUAACGGACAGCACAAAAAUCAGAAAAAUAAUAUUCUCGAGUAGCCCCUACAACUCAAGUUUUUCAAAUUCCAGCGCUACCACAACCAACAACAUUUUUCUUUUCAGAAAUCAAAUACUCCCUCACAUCCAAAUACUACAACAACCCAUGUACACCACAUAUAACUACAGCACCACAUCCAUCAACCAUACAAUACAUAAUAUCCAUAACAACCAAAAAAAAAGAAGAGAAAACGAGAGAGGAGAAAUUGAGCUUGAAGGUGUUUUGCAGUUUCGAGUUCGUGAUUUUAAAUAACUAGGCUUUGAUACCAUUUGGAAGGAGGUGCGGAUAAUUUGGAUAACUUAAAU